GCGGCGCGGCGGCUCGAUGUAGAUCGGCGGCGGCAGUUGGAGCUUGCAGGGGGCGGAUCCGUGCGCGGCAGGAGCUGGGGAGGUGGAUCCGGAGGCCGGCGGCGAGGUGGGGUCACCAGGGACGACCAGGAUGGCCGGAGCACGGAUUCCCUGGCGGAUCCAUGGAGUCUGCGGCUCCUGGGCAGGAAGGAAGGGAAGUGGGGGAGAGAAGGAGGGAGUAAGGAGGGGCGGCACAGCGACCUAGGCAGGAGCUUGCCGGAGCCGGACGCUGGUGGACGGGCGGGCGGCGCGAAGUCCUGGCGCACCUCGGCCGUCAUCGAGGCCACCACCGCCGCCUGCCGGUGCAACAAGGCAAAGGAGGAUCUCCUGGUUUUGCUCCGUCGCCAACUCCAUGUUCACGGUCGUGGUUCUAAUCCCUCUCUUGCCACUCCACUAUUUUCAGGGGACCUUCCACUGUUUUGAUUUAUUGUAUAUGUGCAGUUCAUCUCCCGGUCGCUGGCUGGAUGUGCCUAUAUCUCUCAUCGUUUUGUCAAUCAGAUAACCUAUCAGUAGGAAAUUAUUUUCCUCCACUUUGCAAGACCACAUAACCAAUUUACUUCAGCGGUCUAUACGAUUAAUUUCUAACUUUGCGGGAUCAUUCUGAGUCGGCAUCUGUCACACUGUAACAAGUGUUCGUCUUUAAUUUCCUACACUAUAUUGUGCAUCAAAAUUUGCUCUGUGUGCAUGAGUACUAAUAAUUUGGGUUAUUUCGUUUUGUUGAAAUGAUGAUAAAAUUGAGUUAAGCGAGUUGGAGCUACUGCACCCCUAGCCCAAGUGGAAUGAGCUCAUGGAGCGCCUCAAAGGCCCCAACAACGGUGGCAGUAGGCGUUGCCAUUAGAUCUGGAGGUAGAGGGAGUCUCUACGAGGAGCGGCAACCGAAGACAGGGAGCAUGGACUGUGUCAAGCAAGCUGUAGCAGGCCUGCGCGACUCCUUGCUGAUCACUUGACAGUCCAAGCCUGCAAUAGUGUCGAUUCAGGUAGGUGUGUGGCAUGGCCGAAUCCUGCCCGAUCAGGGCCAACCAAUGGACAUGUUGUAUGCAUCGAUCUCCCAAUCCAACAGGCAAUACAUGUCUGCAAACGGUCCUGAAAAAGUCAUUCCGUAAGAAAGAAACUCAGGAAAAUAUGGUGGUUCUACGUCACUAGGCAAAUCAGAGGAGAUUACCCAAUCUAUAAUGACAGGUGGUGGUAGACACCUGGUAUUUCUGCAUUGAUGAAAUGUCUUUUGUGGAACUCAAAAAAUGGAGAGAGUUUAGAAAAAAUAAAUUUGAAUGGAGAUUAAUACUGGUUUAUUUUGUGCAGAAUAGUAGUGAUGCAUUCUCUUCCGACAGGCUCCAAAUGAUGGUUAUUCUGCAGGAUUGGGAGAUGGAUGUAAUGUCCUUGUCCGUGCAAUUUGCUUUUGUGGGAAGAAAAAAAUGUUGAGUGUGGUUUUCAAUGGUGGAUGUGACAUCCGAUGAUUGCCGAGGAAGAAAGGUGCGGGGGAGAGAAUCAAUUUGUGGUUUAUGAAUGGAAACCUUGUGUCAACAUGUUUGAUAUGUUUGCUUAUUACUCAAUGGUUGCAUUGGCAAAUGGGGCCUCAACAAUCUCUUGUGCCAUUUGAACUUUAAUUUGAUUAUCGAUGAAGCAAGAUUCUAGAUUUAUCGAAUCCUAUUUUUUUUCAUCAGAUCGAUAUGGUUGUCCGUAUGAACUACGUCAUAAGCUUCUUUGAGCAGCUUUUUACGGUGUUUCCAUCUUUUAAUUUCUCAGCAACUGCAUCAAAGUACCAACCUCAGAGUUGAAAGUAAGGGCUGCAGAUUUUUCACGGAUCAAAUAGGAAUCACUACCACAGUACUGGCCUAACUUACGUACUAAUGCCUACAUCAACCGCCUGGGAAGAAGUUCUGGGUACAUCUAUUGCAUCGGUCGGUAUAUCUUCCUUUAUCUAUAACUUGAUAUAGAUAUUAGGCUGACAAGUAGGCUAUUACAGUACAGGUGGACCAUUUUUAGACAUGCCAUAUUCUUUGUCUGGAUAACAAAAUUAUUUUCACAUGGAAACCUCAUACAAAAUCGCUGUUUAAAUCAUUGUUGGAUGUUCCAUUCUUUGAUUAUUUUGUUACAUUCAAACUAAGAAUAAUGCAAGAAAAAAAACCUUCAUUGUUCUAGAAAGGUGUUGGAGGCUCAGAGCUGCAUAUUCUGAUGAUAUAACUGUCAAUUACAAAAUAAGGCCAAACACUAUUUCUACGAAUUAGCAUCAAGUUGCCAGGAGCAGUGAAGCGCCGAUAAUGGUCAACUAUGGUGCUUGAAGAGAUGGAUAUAUGUAGUUUUAAUGUUGCAGAUAUACGGCUGGAGCAAUAUGUAAGUACUAUUACAGAAUUACUUCAGCUUUUGCUGAGUGUUUCUAUUAGCUAGAUGGUUGUGCUUCAUGUCCUAGGAUCGCAUGCCCUUUAUGUUCAGAGUACGGUCUGAUUAUGAAUAAGAUAAUAAAAAGGUCCGUUACUUCUAACUAGACAUUUUGUUAAUUUCCAGUUGAAGGCUUCCACGCGCCACCUCCUUCUCCCCCUCCUUCGCCGUGUCGAGAAGGGAGCAACGACGAAGUAGAGGUAGACAUGGACACAUGGUAGGAGCCAAGGGGGAACAGGGAAUGGCGGACGCGAGAUCCGUGAAGCCAGAGAAGGUAUGUAAGCUCGUCCACCGCAGGCUAUAGCUCCAAAAUCGGCGGUGUCAGCCGCCACCAGUGCCACCGUGUCCGCCUCCGGCUGGCUUGGUAGCAACAAAAGUAUGGCUGCAGGUGUGGUUCAUUCAGUUUUGCAGUUCGAUUUACUUGCUAGAGGGAGAGAUUAUUUUGUUCUAGAAGUCAUAUUUCUGUCAAAAAUCUGCUCCCCUCCACUCCUUUUUCAUUUAACUAAAAUCUGAAUGUGAAAAGCAGUUGCAAAUUUAGAGCAGCAGAGUAAAUGUUCAAAAGUUCAGAGCAGGUGCAUGUUUUUGAGAA